UAGGUGAUGGGAAGAAAGUGUUCGCCUG
rnacentral:piRNA from 1 species